rnacentral:rRNA from 1 species
UACGGGGGGAGCAAGCGUUGUUCGGAUUUACUGGGCGUAAAGGGCGCGUAGGCGGCGCAACAAGUCACUUGUGAAAUCUCCGGGCUUAACUCGGAACGGCCAAGUGAUACUGUCAAGCUAGAGUGCAGAAAGGGCAAUCGGAAUUCUUGGUGUAGCGGUGAAAUGCGUAGAUAUCAAGAGGAACACCUGAGGCGAAGGCGGGUUGCUAGGCUGACACUGACGCUGACAGCGCGAAAGCCAGGGGAGCAAACGGG